ensembl:lncRNA
UUGCUGUGUUUGUUUUGUGUUCUCUUCUUAAAGGUUUUUGCAGAGUUCACUAGGGUGGCAAGUAAAGAUCUUGAACGGGACUUUUUUGAGUCCUUGGACCGUCACAUCCCUCGAUUUCUCGAGAUCUUUAAGUCCAAGAAGGGUGUUAUUGGCAGGACACUUGCAGAGCUCCUUACUCAAGCUGAAAUGAAGACCCAUGAUGUUGUGGCAAGGCGGACAGCUGUCCUACGCUGUCUUGCAGUUUUUCUUGGGGAUGAUGGGAGUGAUUGUUUUGAUUCAGAUUCCAUUACGGAUUUCACCGAGAUUCCUGUUGGGGUAUUAACCGUCAUACCCGAAGACAGUCCACAGCCAAGUCAAAAUGCCCUGCACCUUGAGCCAUCCAGC